CGAUUCUACUUGUCAAAUUGCCCAAGAAAUUGCUGAGAAAAUUCAACAACGAAAUCAGUAUGAAAGAAAAGGUGAAAAGGCACCAAAGCUUACCGUGACAAUCAGAGCUUUGUUGCAGAACCUGAAGGAAAAGAUCGCCCUUUUGAAGGACUUAUUGCUAAGAGCUGUGUCAACACAUCAGAUGUAUCCAUGUAAACAUUUCCACCUCUUUUCUAGAGUGGGAGGAAAAGCAGUCGUAUUUUAAGAAAGGAAGGAAUCUGGGCCACCCAGAUUUUCCCACAGCUUGAGGAAGACCUGGUUUCCAAAAUAUUGCCUGUAAUCUUGAUUUCUAUUUUAAGUGUCUGUUACAUGUUUUACAGUGAAUAUGCUGGCAAAGCAAGACCUACCGAGGGAAUUAACUUAUUUGGGUAUAACCUGUACAGUUCAGGAAGCUAAUGUUUUCCGUCAGUGCGGUAUUUACGGAGCCCCACACUGCUCUCUGUCUAGACGGCCUUGACCAUGGCUAGCUGCUGCUCCAACAGGAAAACCAUGGUCAUCCUAAGCUGUGAUUCCGCUUCUGGGAGUUUCCGGAGUUUUUAAUGAUCCGUUUAUUUUCGGAGUGGGCAAUACCAGUAGAAACCAUACAUCUCUCCUCUCACCACCUGCCCCGUGUUUAUGUAGAUUUGAGAUGUGCCUUAUUUUUCCUCCAGAGGCACAGACACUGCCUCUAGUAUGGGA
rnacentral:sRNA from 1 species